UACGUAGGGUGCAAGCGUUGCCCGUGAUUUACUGGGCGUAAAGGGCGCGUAGGCGGCCAGCACAAGUCAGUUGUGAAAUCUCCGAGCUUAACUCGGAAAGGUCAACUGAUACUGUGCGGCUAGAGUGCGGAAGGGGCAACUGGAAUUCUUGGUGUAGCGGUGAAAUUCGUAGAUAUUCGCAAGAACACCAGUGGCGAAGGCGGCUCACUGGCCCGGUACUGACGCUGAGGUGCGAAAGCGUGGGGAGCAA
rnacentral:rRNA from 1 species